rnacentral:rRNA from 1 species
UUGACGUUACCCGCAGAAGAAGCACCGGCUAACUCCGUGCCAGCAGCCGCGGUAAUACGGAGGGUGCAAGCGUUAAUCGGAAUUACUGGGCGUAAAGCGCACGCAGGCGGUCUGUCAAGUCGGAUGUGAAAUCCCCGGGCUCAACCUGGGAACUGCAUUCGAAACUGGCAGGCUAGAGUCUUGUAGAGGGGGGUAGAAUUCCAGGUGUAGCGGUGAAAUGCGUAGAGAUCUGGA